UUUAUUGUUUUUUAUUAGCUAUAUGGCGCGCGCAUGUAUUGUUCUAAUAACUGUGAUAAAAAAAAGAAUCCAAAAAAGGAGAUACGAAAUAAAAAGCAAAAAACCGAAAGAUCAAUAAAAUUGCGAUUUGAUUAAUAAACAAUAUAUUGCUGCUCUUUUGUGUUUUGCUGCAAUAUAAAAUUUUUCACCAAUAUUCUACAAACAAGUGUGGUAAUAAUACACUAAAAUUGGAAGUUAUAAACGCUGUAAAUCAAGAUAUUAUUAAAAACAAUUUUACUCUUCAAGUUCUUAUGCUUUAAGUUUUAGACAAUGAAGAAUGUUUAGUCUUAGACAAUAAAAAUAUUUCUUUAUGUUGUCUCAAUAGUGUUGUUAAUAACGAUAAUGUCGCUAUUAAUAUGACUAUUGAAAUAUCAGAGAUGUUUUAACAGAUAAGAUGGCAUACGAAAUAUUCUAAUCUAUUAAAACUCGUUAGAAAUCAAUGCAUUGAGUCUAGCAAAAGUUUUGUUCGGUUUUCAAUAAGUGGCAUUCAGAUAUAAUAUAAAUGGAAAUGCCAAUUACGUUUGUUUAUAUAUUACAUACCAUUGCAAAAACAAUACUUUUCCGAUUAUAAUCAUUUAGAAAAUUAAUAUUUAAAAAAUGAAUAAUUUUCUUCAAUUAAAUGCAAUAAAAUCAAAUUUGAUUAAAAAAUCGAAACAAACAUUUUGACUGAUCCAAAGCGUUCGUAUCAUUUUUUUUUAUAUGUAUUUUAGAAGAAAAACAUUUAAUACUCAUGUCUUUGAAUUUUAGUUAUAGAUUGUUUAGACUGAUUGGAGCCUGCGUUAGAAUGAUUAUAUUCGAAAGCAGCUUUUCAUGGAAGCUUCGAUCAAUUCAUAAAGUGAAAGUCCAUUUUGAAGGUUCUUACAAAUAAUCAAUAUAAAAAAUAUUCGAAAAUAAAAACUGUAUAAUUAUUUUCGAACAAAAAGUGAUCAAAUCCCUCGCAAAACAUUAGCAUACAAAUGAUAAUGCCUUACUUAGCCUUCAUGUACAACUAUCAGACGUAGUAAUACUAAGAAUAGAAUACGCGUGUUUAUAAAACCAGUUCUUUUUCAUAUAACGAUAAUACAGCUUAUAAAAUAUGAACAGAAGGGGGAAAGUUUAGAACGUAUUAUAAAUAUUCGCACGUGAGACAAAUCGUAUUUUCAUUUGUUGAGCGAAGUCAAAAAUACCAACAUUUGCAAUACGUUUGUGAUAAAUUACAAACGGUAUAAAAUUUAUUUUAUGUAAACUAAAAAAAGAAGAUGUUAACACUAGAUGCAAAAACCUGCAUUCAGCUCAAGAAGUGUAAAAAUUUUCAGUAAUAUAAGAAAUAGUACAGAUAAAAAAUUGUAAACAGAAAAAUUGUAAAAAAUUGUUUAAAAAAUUGUAAAUAGAAAGUUAAAAAAUGAUAAAAGUAUUCAGAAGAUAUAUAAUUCAGGCGAUUUGACAGAAGAAAUUUUUAUUCAAUUAUUCCAAAAAAAACAAAAACUUACUUAAGAAGAAAUAGAUAUUUCAAGUAAAAAUUUUAUGUUUUUCAGGUGUUGUAAUAAUUAAAAAGAAUUCUCACACGGUACAAUGAAAGUUCUUCGUGUUUUCUUAAUAUUCGCAGUAAGUUUAAUAACACUAGGAGUGUCCAAACCACCUGUUAAGCAAAAGACAAAUUUUACAUAAUCAAUUCAAAUAUAGAAUAUAUCCAUCAAUUCAAAGAAAUUUUGGAAUGUCUAGGGGAUUUUUUGGCUAUUUUAUAGAUACCCGUCAAAAAGCAUCGCAGAAUUGUCCAUUUAGGCAAAGAGAAGAUUAUAACUUUAAGUAGAUUAUAUCGCAUACCAGCAUAAAGAAUGCAGAUAAUUUAAGAUUUGCCAGACUUAAUUACGAGAAAUAUAUUUGUAUACGAACAAUUCUGAUCUAUCAAAAUUAGCAAUUUAUAUAUUCAUUUAUCACAUUUGUACAUUUUCUGUUUAGUUGCAAGUUCCAACAAUACUGGAUAUUUUCAUAAAACAUGACUUGCCAAAUGAUAGAGCAGAAGCAAUGGAAUGAGACAAGAAAUAUAAAAUAAUAUAUAUGCUUAUAAAUAUAAUAUAAUUGAAAAAUAUUAAUUUUCUUAGAAGUAUUUUUCAAACUUGUUUUUAUAUCGAAAUAAAAUCUCAUUUCUUCAGCUAGACAUCAAAUAUAUAAAAAAAAAUCGAACGCGAUAACCAAUAAUUAUUAUCUAACAAUCAAUAAACACUUAUUUUAUAAUUACAAUACACUUGGAACAUACAAAUCACACCUGAUAGACAGAAGAUAAGUUUUAUAUGAUACAUCUGGACAUGGAACAUAUAUUCACACAAGAAGAUUUAAGAGACCUCCUAUCGGAAGUAAAAGAUACUUCAUAAACAUUUCUUUUAUAUAACCGGUAAAUUCUCCACAAGGUUAAUGAAAAGAUCCGCAUGGAAUGUGUUGCGUAAAGCAACAGCAAAGUCUUAUGGAAAGAAUAUUACACAAACGGGUUUCUGCAACACGCACAUAAUAUUAUAUCAUCACAUGAUGAUAAUAAACUUCACGCAAUAGAAAGGAAUAUUGAUGAGAUUAUUGUAGAAUAUAAAUACGAAACGCAGGAGAGAGAACGGUCAAUCCACAUCCAUUCCUCCAAAAGAAUUAAAAAUAUUGGAAAAGAUCUCAUAUUCAAGAAAAAUAUAGGAAACUGCGGUUGUGGAAGAUAUUCAGAUUUUCUCACAGAGUACAAUGAAAAUAUUCUUUAACAUUUGCUUGAUUAUGAUGCUGACAAUCAUAGCAAUACCAAUUGGAAUAUCACAACCUUUAUUGCCUACGCCGUCAGUUCCUGUUAUAAAUCGUAAUUAUUUGCCGGUUCCGGUUCCUACUGUCGUAGGUGUUCUUCAAAAAACCAUUACUUGUCCCCCAAAUUAUCGGAAAAAUCCACAAGGAAUAUGUCGUGAGCAAAUAUAACAAUAAUACAUGCAUGUGGUGUAAAAUACAGGUUCCAAUGAUAUUGCCAUACAUAUAGCAACUGCGAAGUAAUAGAUUGGAAGUAAUGGAAUAAGACAAGAUAUGUAAAAUAGUAUAUGACAUCUUAUAAAUAUGAAUAAAUAAAAAUUUUUAUAAUUCUUCA